UGACCCAGAUAUCAUUUCUAUACGGCGUGUACGAUAUACGUUACGAUAUUAAUGUUACGCGCAUCGUGAUCGAGCGAAACUUCGUCCGACUGACUUACCGUCUCACGACGACGGGGCAUACGUAUCACAAGCCUCUUGAAUUAUUAAUAAGCUGAAACUGUGUCGCGUUCGGCGACAGUGAGUUUUUCGUCAUUGCAGUAACGCUUGACAGUGACACUGCCGUCCUGACGUCCUAUCCGCAUU